UACAGGCCUAACACAUGCAAGUCGAACGGUAACGGCAGGAAGCUUGCUUCCUGGCUGACGAGCGGCGGACGGGUGAGUAAUACCUGGGGAGCUGCCUGAAUGAGGGGGACAACACCUGGAACGGAUGCUAAUACCGCGUAAGCCCUGAGGGGGAAAGGCUGGGCAACCAGUCGCAUUCAGAUGCGCCCAGGUGGGAUUAGCUAGUUGGUGGGGUAACGGCCUACCAAGGCGACGAUCUCUAGCUGGUCUGAGAGGAUGAUCUUUCUCACUGGAACUGAGACACGGUCCAGACUCCUACGGGAGGCAGCAGUAGGGAAUAUUGCACAAUGGGGGAAACCCUGAUGCAGCCAUGCCGCGUGUGUGAGAAGCCUUUGGG
rnacentral:rRNA from 1 species